AUCAAACAUUUUCGCCGUUUUAAAAACGUUGUUGCCGGGCCGCAAACCUUCCUCUCAUCCCCACCUAUCCCAUCUACAAAACCCACAAAACCCACCUCUCCGAUCAGACCGUCCGGUCACGAUCGGAGUGUCAAAAAAUCUCUCCAACUACCCUAACCCUAACUCUCAUGCUAUAAAAGGAAGCCAACUCCUGCCUAUUUGGAACCCUAGCCGGAUCCACCUCUUUUUCCAUGCACAAAUAGUGUCCAUCCUCCACACUCUGUGUCUCCUAUCUCCUCCAACCCGCCCCAGCUCGGUUGGGGCUCGCCCGAUCCCAUCCGGGCAUGAGCAGGCCCGCACGCCGCCGUUGCCUGUCCUCGAGCGCCAGAUCGGGAAGGAGCUCCGAUCCAUGUUGCCCGUCGUCGACCGCCAGACCACAUCAUGUUGCUCGGAUGCUCGCCGCCGCAGGCGCGUGCCACUGUAUUGCCUCCCGCGCUAGUCCCAUCUCAGGCCGAUGCCUACUCUGCAACAAGGAGCUCACCCAAGCACCGCUGUUGCGUGUUGCCUUCGUUGGCCAUCGGAUCUAGCACGCCGCCGCAAGCCCCAAUCCGGAUCCNN
rnacentral:lncRNA from 1 species